CACUGACAUUAGAUACCCGCGUAGUCCCAGCCGUAAACUAUGCGCGUUAGGUGUAUCGGUGACCACGAGUCACCGAGGUGCCGAAGGGAAACCGUGAAACGUGCCGCCUGGGAAGUACGGUCGCAAGGCUGAAACUUAAAGGAAUUGGCGGGGGAGCACCACAACGGGUGGAGCCCGCGGUUUAAUUGGACUCAACGCCGGGAAGCUCACCGGAUAAGACAGCGGAAUGAUUGCCGGGCUGAAGACUCUGCAUGACUAGCUG
rnacentral:rRNA from 1 species